UUUUACUUCCAAUGUAGAAUACAACUUGCAUUGGACCGAUACAGAGGAGAUAAGCAUGGCCCUGCCCAAAGAUGACACGCAAAAUCGUUAAGCGUUCCACAUUUUU